rnacentral:tRNA from 1 species
GAGGGUAUAGCUCAGUGGUGGAGUGUGUGCUUAGCAUGCACGAGGUCCUGGGUUCAAUCUUGAGUGCCUCCA